rnacentral:rRNA from 1 species
AAUGCGAGGAAGCAAUCCCAUAAACCGUGGCUCAGUUCAGAUCGUAGGCUGCAACUCGCCUACGUGAAGGAGGAAUCGCUAGUAAUCGCAGGUCAGCAUACUGCGGUGAAUACGUCCCCGGGCCUUGUACACACCGCCCGUCACACCAUGGAAGUUGGCCACGCCCGAGGCCGUUACUCCAACCCUUGUGGAGGAGGACGUCGAAGGUGGGGCUGAUGACUGGGGUGAAGUCGUAACAAGGUAUCCGUACCGGAAGGUGCGGAUGGAUCACCUCCUAA